UUUCACGUGAAACGUAUCCCUUCCGUCCCCAGCGUGCAAUCGCUGACUAUUUCGAGCCGGGAAUUUUCUUCCUUUUCCUCACAAUUAUCUGUGACGCAUAGGAUCUGUUUAUUCGAAUGAACGGUAACGUUAUACUCGAAACGAUAAAAUGUUCACCAAACAGAGAUAAUCGUCUCCCUCGCACCAGGUCCAUAGUUGCGUUCAAUUCUGAGGCUCAGUUACUGAAAACUUCAAAUCUCUCUUAACCCGAUCUCACAGCUCUCCGUUCGUUCGGUGUAGCCUAUUACCUAAUUAAUGAAUAGCCCGUAGUGAUUCCCCAUAAACGAGCAUCGUGACAAAUAGAAAUUUGAUUGACGCCGUGCGCGAUUACGUAAAAUAUCACCGGCACGCAAACGACGUUUGCGCUUUACUGGGUGUCGUAUUUACUGAAAUUCCACGGUUCGAGCAUUAAUUUCGUGUUGACCAUUCGUUGCGACCACAUAAUAGCUCAAUCCUUGACGAGAAUCAUUACGAGACAGCUAUUAAAGUAUCGUUUUGUCGCAGACAUUGCCUCGGAAAUUUUUCCUGUUUGCUCGUGACCAUCGUUUGCUAUCCGAUAUUUAAGACGUUAACCAGAAACUGACACCCUCGCCGUGGAUGAGACUUCGUCGAAGUUAACUCUAAAAAUGUCGAAACGAGAAAUCUGGAUUGAUCCCGCGUGUGCAAUCAUUUGGUUUACGGUGCGCUGCACCAAGAGUGGCGGAUGUCGUCGAACAGUGGUCGAUCGGAAAAAUCAGCGAGCUCGAUUUCCCGCGGUUAGCACGCCGACAGAUAACGCGACAGAUAAGAGAGAACUGGUAAACGUGCGCAUGCGUGCGUGUGUGCGCAUAUUUUUGUCUUAUAUAUUCAGUUCAUCGAAAACAACCGGAGAAAAAUCAAAUAAAACUGGUUUACGCCGGCUUAUACCGGAUGCGGCAGCUUAGUUGCCUUAGUUGCAACUAACGCUCCGCGUCGGUUUAUUGUUACAUCGAGCGUUUAUAUGCGACGAGUUUAUGGAAAAAUCAGUUUUGUCCCAACGUGGGCGAGCACUAGCAUGUAGAGAGGGAUCCAUACCGAUACUGGGUAUCGAUGAAGCCGCAUUCCUCCUUCGCCCAUCCGCUCUAAUCCCGAUUUGCAUUUUAUUCGCCGUUCCGAGCCGAUCGUGAAAUGGAAUAAUGAUGGGCCGAAGUUCAACGAAAACGAUUUACCUCUCGGCGAUGAAUGGAUGAAUGAUAAAAAUUUGUGACGAUUUAUAAAAUGAGAGAAUAAAAUUUAAUGAUUAGUUCUCGA